GACGAACGCUGGCGGCGUGCUUAACACAUGCAAGUCGAACGAAAAGAGGGAAAGAGCUUGCUCUUUCCGGAAUUGAGUGGCAAACGGGUGAGUAACACGUAAACAACCUGCCUUCAGGAUGGGGACAACAGACGGAAACGACUGCUAAUACCGAAUAAGUUCCAAGGGCCGCAUGGCCCAUGGAAGAAAAGGUGGCCUCUACCUGUAAGCUAUCGCCUGAAGAGGGGUUUGCGUCUGUUUAGCUGGUUGGAGGGGUAACGGCCCACCAAGGCGACGAUCAGUAGCCGGUCUGAGAGGAUGAACGGCCACACUGGAACUGAGACACGGUCCAGACUCCUACGGGAGGCAGCAGUGGGGAAUCUUCCGCAAUGGGCGAAAGCCUGACGGAGCAACGCCGCGUGAGUGAUGACGGCCUUCGGGUUGUAAAACUCUGUGAUCCGGGACGAAAAGGCAGAGUGCGAAGAACAAACUGCAUUGACGGUACCGGAAAAGCAAGCCACGGCUAACUACGUG
rnacentral:rRNA from 1 species